GGUUCCGGGUCAACCCUUAAGCCCAAAAGAAGCAAACAAACGCAACUCGUUCUUUUCCCUAAACAGCCAACCUCGGCUCGAGGCUCGCCGGGGUCACAGCUGCACACUCACUUCUUCCACUGUGAUGGCGCUGUCGACUCUCCAAAAAUUCUUCAAAACUUCAUCGCCUCCAGCAAGAAUCCUUGCUUUCGUUCGCAACCCAUACAUAAACUUACCAAAUCCCUCGACACCCGUAACUCUUUCCUCCCAAACUCAGCAACUUAACAGCACACCUAAUGAAAACCAUAUUGUCAAUGCCAUUCUAUCUUUGGGCUCAUCCAAAGAGGGGAGCUUGACCCAUUUCGAUUGCUUGCCGUUUUCCUCGAUCCAUACAUUUGGGUUCUGUUCACACCCGAUUCUAUCAACUGGGUUGAUCCACGAUUUGCAGAAUGACGAGGAUUCGGGGAUGUGGGCUGAUAGCGUGAAGAAGAAGAGG
rnacentral:misc_RNA from 1 species